rnacentral:rRNA from 1 species
AUUGAACGCUGGCGGCAAGCCUUACACAUGCAAGUCGAACGGCAGCAUGGAGAGCUUGCUCUCUGAUGGCGAGUGGCGAACGGGUGAGUAAUGCAUCGGAACGUACCGUGUAAUGGGGGAUAACGUAGCGAAAGUUACGCUAAUACCGCAUACGACCUGAGGGUGAAAGCAGGGGAUCGCAAGACCUUGCGUUAUACGAGCGGCCGAUGUCAGAUUAGCUAGUUGGUGAGGUAAAGGCUCACCAAGGCGACGAUCUGUAGCGGGUCUGAGAGGAGCAUCCGCAACACUGGGACUGAGACACGGCCCAGACUCCUACGGGAGGCAGCAGUGGGGAAUUUUGGACAAUGGGGGCAACCCUGAUCCAGCCAUGCCGCGUGAGUGAAGAAGGCCUUCGGGUUGUAAAGCUCUUUCGGCCGGGAAGAAAUCGCACAGGCUAAUACUCUGUGUGGAUGACGGUACCGGCAUAAGAAGCACCGGCUAACUACGUGCCAGCCGCCGCAGUAA